rnacentral:rRNA from 1 species
CCUACGGGAGGCAGCAGUGGGGAAUAUUGCACAAUGGGCGCAAGCCUGAUGCAGCGACGCCGCGUGAGGGAUGACGGCCUUCGGGUUGUAAACCUCUUUCAGUAGGGAAGAAGCGAAAGUGACGGUACCUGCAGAAGAAGCGCCGGCUAACUACGUGCCAGCAGCCGCGGUAAUACGUAGGGCGCAAGCGUUAUCCGGAAUUAUUGGGCGUAAAGAGCUCGUAGGCGGUUUGUCGCGUCUGCCGUGAAAGUCCGGGGCUCAACUCCGGAUCUGCGGUGGGUACGGGCAGACUAGAGUGAUGUAGGGGAGACUGGAAUUCCUGGUGUAGCGGUGAAAUGCGCAGAUAUCAGGAGGAACACCGAUGGCGAAGGCAGGUCUCUGGGCAUUAACUGACGCUGAGGAGCGAAAGCAUGGGGAGCGAACAGGAUUAGAUACCCUGGUAGUCCAUGCCGUAAACGUUGGGCACUAGGUGUGGGGGACAUUCCACGUUUUCCGCGCCGUAGCUAACGCAUUAAGUGCCCCGCCUGNGAGACGCGCAGACGAACUAAUAGAUAGAGCGNGAGAGNGCGAGACGACGACGAGGGAGAGG